rnacentral:rRNA from 1 species
CAGUCGCCGCGGUAAUACGUAGGUGGCAAGCGUUGUCCGGAAUUAUUGGGCGUAAAGGGCUCGCAGGCGGUUUCUUAAGUCUGAUGUGAAAGCCCUCGGCUCAACCGGGGAGGGUCAUUGGAAACUGGGAAACUUGAGUGCAGAAGAGGAGAGUGGAAUUCCACGUGUAGCGGUGAAAUGCGUAGAGAUGUGGAGGAACACCAGUGGCGAAGGCGACUCUCUGGUCUGUAACUGACGCUGAUGUGCGAAAGCGUGGGGAUCAAACAGGAUUAGAUACCCCGGUAGUCCCUGUCUCUUAUAC